rnacentral:rRNA from 2 species
GGAUGCGAUCAUACCAGCAAUAAUGCACCGGAUCCCAUCAGAACUCCGAAGUUAAGCUUGCUUGGGCGAGAGUAGUACUAGGAUGGGUGACCUCCUGGGAAGGCCUCGUGUUGCAUCCCUCU